rnacentral:rRNA from 1 species
GUAGGAUAGAGGCCUACCAUGGUGGUAACGGGUAACGGGGAAUUAGGGUUCGAUUCCGGAGAGGGAGCCUGAGAAACGGCUACCACAUCCAAGGAAGGCAGCAGGCGCGCAAAUUACCCAAUCCCGACACGGGGAGGUAGUGACAAUAAAUAACAACACAGGGCUCUUUUGGGUCUUGUUAUUGGAAUGAGUACGAUUUAAAUCUCCUAACGAGGAACAAUUGGAGGGCAAGUCUGGUGCCAGCAGCCGCGGUAAUUCCAGCUCCAAUAGCGUAUAUUAAAGUUGUUGCAGUUAAAAAGCUCGUAGUUGAAUUUCAGGCCUGGCUGGACGGUCCGCCCUUCGGGUGAGUACUGUCUGUGGUCGGGUCCUACCUUCUGGCGAAGCGUCAUGGCCUUAACCGGCCGUGGCGGGGAACCAGGACUUUUACUGUGAAAAAAUUAGAGUGUUCAAAGCAGGCAAUCGCUUGGAUACAUUGGCAUGGAUUAAUGGAAUAGGACAAUGGUUCUAUUUGUUGGUUUCUAGGACCGUUGUAAUGAUUAAUAGGGAUAGUUGGGGGCAUUAGUAUUCAAUUGUCAGAGGUGAAAUUCUUGGAUUUAUUGAAGACUAACUACUGCGAAAGCAUUUGCCAAGGAUGUUUUCAUUAAUCAAGAACGAAAGUUAGGGGAUCGAAGACGAUCAGAUACCGUCGUAGUCUUAACCAUAAACUAUGCCGACCAGGAAUCGGGCGAUGUUGAAAAAAUGACGCGCUCGGCACCUCAUGGGAAACCAAAGUGUUUGGGUUC